rnacentral:lncRNA from 1 species
CCUAAACUUCAUAUUUAAUAUUUUUAUUUCUUGGAAUUAAAGCCUAAUUAUUUAUAAAUACUCUUCUUCCAUGACAUUCUUUUUUUUCUCCUCUUUUUCUUUUUUCCAAGUUCCUGCACCAGAGUUGGCUUAUAUCCUCUCUCGCCAACCACCUCAUGUAUUGAGAUUUUGGUGCCUCGAAUUUGAUGCAUAGGAGAAAAACCCAAGAUGGAGG